rnacentral:lncRNA from 1 species
GUUUGGUGCUAUACCACAGGGACUUAUUCUAUACAAGUUAAGAAAUUCUACAACUAAAUAAUGGUAGGACAGAUGAAGACCGAUCUUUAGGGAUUUCUCAUAAAAGCCUACCUGACCCUGAUGAGGAAGAGCUAUCCGCUCCCUGAGAACAGCGACCUCCAGUCUAAACUUGGUAGGGAUUUGAUACUUUAACCUAAUGAUCUCCAAAUCCUCCGAGGUGAGGACAGAGUUCAGGUGGAUAGGGAC